UCCGCUACAGAAGUUCGGUCGGAGUCCGAUCUCCGUAGAAGCCCGGAUGGGGAUCAUUUGUCGAGGAAGCUCGGUCGAAGCCUGCCUGCAAUAGAAAUCCGGAAGAAAUUCAUCCACAAUGGAAGCUCGGGUGAAGGCUAACAGUGAAAGUCCGACGCGGACCACUCGUAGUAGAAAUUUAAAGUAGACCGCUUGUAGUAGAAGCUCGGAGACCGGCCCUUGUAGGAGUUCGGAUGAGAUCUACCUGCAACAGGAGU
rnacentral:lncRNA from 1 species